rnacentral:lncRNA from 1 species
ACGAAUACUUCAAUCUCAUAAGAUGUCUCUGUGACUAUUAUAAGCCUGGAAUUGCAAUUCUAAGGCCUGGAGAUAGAUAGUAUAGUACAUGACAGUAUGCAGAACAGCAAGAGUAAACACUAGAAGGAUUUUAGGAUCCAAGCAAUUGUGUCCAUCGAGAUACCGUGCCUAAUUACAAGGCAGUGGCUUGGGUAAUUAACAUAAAGAUCCUAGCUAAUCGCAGCCACCAUAAGGGUCCAGCUACUGAAUCGGCUCAUGCUCAUGCUUGAAUCAGAAAGGGAGAAAGCUAAAAAAUAGAAAUUCUGAAUCGGACUGAACCAGACCAGAGCCAACAGAGAGAUGAGAGGGGUGGAACAGACCUUCCAUUCCAUGGCUGCUCUCCUGUACCAGUGGAUUUAGGCGUCGUCCCGUCGCUGGUUGCUGUACCUCACCUAUAGAGAAGAAGAGAAGGGAUGAAACGAGAUUGGGAUUAGGGGGGAGACGUUCAGAAAAGGAGAAGUAGAAGAGAAGGGGGAGGUGGGAUUCAUACCAUAGCACCGACCGUUGUCGAGGUCUUGGAGGCUGCGGUGGGUCGCCAUGGCCGUCGCUGGUCGCCGUUGCUCCUACUAAAAGGUGUUCGGAAGUAGAGCGCUUACCGGGGUAUCCGUAUGGUUGCAGUCAAGGCCGAUAUCUUCGGUGGUGUCCGGCCAUUGUUUUCGUUUCCCAAAAAAUAAUUUUCACAUUCCAUCGUGCGUAGUGCCGAAGAAGUGCUGAAGAGUCUGUGGCCCUUAUGGAUUAAACUCCCACAAGCGGAGAGGCUGUCGCUGGCACGACAGGGUCCGGCGGACUAGCAUUACCUGAACAACGUUGACAAGAUCGAUAUCCUUCUCAACAAGGCUUCGGAUACGACUCUGCAGAGUCCGCACUUCAUCAACUAAUCCCCAGUCCAAUCCCUUAUUAAUCCAUGAUGCAAGCUGAAUUGGGGGGCUGGACCGGAAUGCAGGCGCAGCUGCCCACUUGGAACCACGGGGCUCGGUGAUAUAGAACCACUCCUGCUGCCGUAAGCCGGAAGAUUCUGUGAAGGAUCCUUUUAGCCAAACAUCGCUGGUAAGCUUGCUCACUGGGGCACCACCACACUCCACCUGCUCCCCCUCUAUCACUUGCGGCUUUACAUUGAAGGUCUUGAGCCACAAGCCAAAGUGCGGAGGAGUUCGGAGGAAGGCUUCGCACGUGACGAUAAACGUCGAGAUGAGAAGAACAGAGUUCGGGGCGAGAUCGUGAAAAUCAAGUCCAUAAUAAAACAUGAGCCCCCGGACGAAGGGAUUAAGGCAAACCCUAAUCCUCGGAGGAAGUGGGAAACGAACACGACCCUCUCGCCGGAUCUGGGGGUAGGGAUAACCUGCCCUUCCGCGGGAAGCCGAUGGAGGAUUUUUGCGGUCAGAUAUCUUGCCGCCCGAAGCUUCGCAAUAUCCUCCUCUAUGACAGAAGAAGCCACCCACGGGCCCUGACGGCUGGAUCCGGACAUGACUAAGGCUUGUGGCGAUUGAAACCCGGGUGUUGGAACUCGAGGUAGUAAGGGUCGAGGAAGAAGCAAGCGUGGAGAAGAAAGACGGGUCUGUACCCCUUUAUAAAGGCCGUGAAUAUCGAACGCCUCCUCCUGGGCCUUAAAACUUGCCUAUUCCCAAGGAGUUGUGCCCUAAAGACGGUUGGGUUACCCACGCCCAUGUCGAUAAAGAAUCCCUUAAUAAAGGGACACGAUCUCUGCUUGGAUAAGACGUGCCAAUGACAACCGCGUCUCGGAACGUGGGGCAGCAGGCGAAAAAAACAAUUCGAAAUGAUGACCGGACUNNNNNNNNNNNNNNNNNNNNNNNNNNNNNNNNNNNNNNNNNNNNNNNNNNNNNNNNNNNNNNNNNNNNNNNNNNNNNNNNNNNNNNNNNNNNNNNNNNNNUGAUAGCAGCUCCAUGAACCCACCCUUAGUAGGUGACCCCAUCAACACCCCCUAACCGCCGCCGCCGCCGCCGGUGAGUUUUAGGUAGUGUGUAGUUGUUGUAGAAUUUUUAAUGUAAGCUUAUAGUAUAAGAUUUUAUUGUAGUUGCAGUGUAAGAGUAGUGUAGAAUAUUUAGUGUAAGAGCAGUGUAGAAUUUUUAGUGUAAGAAUAUAGUGUAAGAGUAGUGUAGAAAUUUUUAUGUAAGAUUAUAGUAAAAGAUUAUAGUGUAGUUUUAGUGUAGUCCUAUGUAGUGUAGUUGUAAUGUAAGAUUUUAGUGUAGCUGUAUUGUACAUUUAAUUACAUGGUAGAUUGUAGGUUUUCCAAGUACUCGUCAAUAUGUCUAAUUUUUACUAACUAGUUAGGUAUAUAUGCACCAUCACAGAUGGCUCCGAAGUUUCGUGGUGUACAACAGAAGGGGACUAAGUACCAUGCGACCAUUAGGAAGGACAAUGUUGUCCAUGAGCUGGGCCACUGGGAUACCCCCGGAGUCAGCGGUGCGCGCCUAUGAUGCCAAGGUAGUUGAGUUCUACCAGGAAGCGGCGGUUCUGAACUUCCCUGAGUGUCAUGAGUCACUACAAGAAAUAUGUCAACUUGUGACCACCACUAUUGGUCGCUGAAAGGUCAUAGUUUUUCAUUUGCGACCUUUUUGUGACAAAAAACAGAAGGUCAAAAGCUGGUGGUCGUAAACUGAAAUUAGUGACCUUCUUUGUGAUAUGUAAAAGGUCGUUGGUUCCAUGACCAAAUUUUUGGUCACAAGCAACCUCCCCAGACCACGAGGCAUCCAGCGUGGCAAGCUGAUGUGGCACAAGAAUCAGCCCGGUCCGAUUCAGUGUUUUACAUGGGCCGAGCCCAACAAUUCAGCCUAUUUGUGUUUUUUUUCUGUCUAUCAAUUUUUUAUUUUUGGUUGGGUUCAUGGGCCAAGCCCAAUAUUGCAGCCUUUUUAUUGUUGGGCCGUUGCCUUUUUGUCUCAACAGUUUCAUUUUUUCUUUUUAUAAAGUGGGUUCACUAGUCAGGUGGGUCCCCAUUGUCAGGUUCUAGUACUAGGUCCUAGCCGGCAAUAUUCUUCAUUUUUUUAAUUUAACACAAAUAAAUACCUAGUAUUUAAAUUGGCACACAGAACACACGAAAUACUUCAAAUAUUAUCAACCAUCAAAGUGCUACAUCAUAUAACACACAUACAAAUGUGAUCAGCAUCAAGUUUACAAUCAGAUAACAAGCUCCACAAGUGUACAAUCACAUGAGCCAGAUUCUACUACAUCAUAUAACACACAUACAAAUAGGAGCAGCAUAAAGGGCUUCAUUACUCUCAGAACUAGCUCCAAUGAGCUAGAACUAUUCUUCCUCCGACUUCUUUGUCCUGAUGCUCACGAAGAAACAUGAAAGCCCAGCAUCUGCACGUUACAUAACAAAAUGUUUAGGAACAAAAUAGAAGUAAAUCUAACAGCAUAUUUCACAAUAAAUAGCCCAGCAUCUGCACGUUACAUAACAAGAUGUUAAUAUGCCAUCAUACUAGUUGAUAGACAAACAUUCCAGGAAGAAUUGAUGCUUGUUUAAUGGGUACAAUCAAUACUGCUAUCUCUAACAGACAAAUUUAAGGUUUUUAAUACAUUUUUUCUAUUAGCAAAACUGAAUAUGCUACUUCCUGAUGCAUGGCUGCAUAGUCCAGCUAGCUACACCAGUUUGCUCUCAUGCAAAAAUUAGAAAGAAAAAAAAGAACAACAAAUAAAUCAACACUGAUUUCUCUAACACGUACAGUAACUUGAUGAUAUAACUUUCUCCUAAUUGCAUUCUCAUAUGAAUGGGCCAACAUGUGAUGUUACUAUUCGGUGUGCUAUUGGCCGAAGCAAAGGAAGCCUCACCCACGCCUUGUACUAAUGCAACUAGCUUAAUUGAUUUUUCCUACUUAGAAAUAGUACUACACUUUGACUUGCUUCAACUCAGCCGAAAGCUUCAUACUAGCACAACCAGCAACAAACUAGCACUAGCCAGAACGAAUCAGGAGGCCAGCAAAGGGACACCAGGUUGAUCCCACAAAAAAAACACCGGCGAUUGAGAAAGAUACCUCGAUACCCAGCCACAAGCACAUCCGUAGCAGCUCCAGCGACGAUAGCAGAAGGACCAAGCAUCCAGCCACGGCUACGACUAUGGAUGGCAAAGAAGCCACUGACAGCAACUGCAGCAAAGGACACCUACCCGGCCUUGUCUACAACAAUCAACAAACCAGAAAUCAGAACGAAUACUUCAAUCUCAUAAGAUGUCUCUGUGACUAUUAUAAGCCUGGAAUUGCAAUUCUAAGGCCUGGAGAUAGAUAGUAUAGUACAUGACAGUAUGCAGAACAGCAAGAGUAAACACUAGAAGGAUUUUAGGAUCCAAGCAAUUGUGUCCAUCGAGAUACCGUGCCUAAUUACAAGGCAGUGGCUUGGGUAAUUAACAUAAAGAUCCUAGCUAAUCGCAGCCACCAUAAGGGUCCAGCUACUGAAUCGGCUCAUGCUCAUGCUUGAAUCAGAAAGGGAGAAAGCUAAAAAAUAGAAAUUCUGAAUCGG